UUUUUAAAAAUUAACAAAAAAUACAAAAAUUUAUGAAAAUUGUUAAAAAUUUGACUAUAAAGGGCAAUAACUCUUUAAGGGGUCAACUUACAAUUUUGGUCAUGUUGACUUACAAUGUAUUUAUAGAUCUUACUUUGCAGAACAUUAUUGCUGUUUACAGUUUAUCUCUAUCUAUAAUAAUAUUUAAGAUAAUAACCAAACUCUGCAAAAUUUCCUUCAAAUUACUAAUUCGGGGGCAGCAAUCCAUCAACGGGUUGUCAGAUUUGUCUGAAAAUUCCUGGGCAGAUAGAUCUUCACUGAAGAGACAAUUUCACCCUUUGUCAGAUUUGCUCUGAAUGCUUUGGUUUCAGAGUUAUAAGCCAAAAUCUACAUUUUACCCGUAUGUUCUAUUUUUAGCCAUGGUGGCCAUCUCGGUUGGUUGACCGGGUCAAACCACACAUUUUUUAAAUUAGAUACCGCAAUGAUGAUUUUGGCUAAGUUUGGUUAAAUUUGGCACAGUAGUUUCAAAGAAGAUUUUUUGUAAAAG
rnacentral:lncRNA from 1 species